rnacentral:rRNA from 1 species
CGCAUCUGUGCAUGCAGCAUAUCAAUAAGCGGAGGAAAAGAAACUAACAAGGAUUCCCCUAGUAACGGCGAGUGAAGCGGGAAGAGCUCAAAUUUGAAAUCUUAAAGGGUUUCCCUUUACGAAUUGUAGUUUAAAGAAGUGCUUUCUGUUGAGGUUUUGGUAAAAGUUCUUUGGAAUAGGACAUCAUAGAGGGUGAGAAUCCCGUAUUUGACCCUUACUUUCAACUUUGUGAUACACUUUCAAAGAGUCGGAUUGUUUGGGAAUGCAGUCCAAAAUGGGUGGUAAAUUUCAUCUAAAGCUAAAUAUUGGCGAGAGACCGAUAGCGAACAGGUACCGUGAGGGAAAGAUGAAAAGAACUUUGAAAAGAGAGUUAAACAGUACGUGAAAUUGUCAAAAGGGAAGCGUUUGACACCAGUGUUGUUUUUCUGAAAAUCAAUUAAAGAACUGUUUAUGCUAAGUUGUUUAGACUUUAUCAGCUAUCUGCUUAGUUUUGAGCUUUUCUUUAAUGCACCUUUCAGUUAACAAGUCAACAUCAAUUUCUUUUGCUGUAAAAAAGCUUGAGGAAGGUGGCUUGAGAUUCGUCUUAAGUGUUUAUAGCCUCUUGCCUAUGCAGUCGGAGAGAUUGAGGUCUGCAGCGUAGAUCCUUCGGGGCUAAAUGCAUUUGUGCUAAGUUAUAGCAUUUUAUAGACAACUUGUUGACUAUGAUUUGUCUUGUAGCUUACUCACUUAUGUUAUUUUACCUACGCUUAGGAUGUUGAAGAUGUAGCACAUCAU